rnacentral:misc_RNA from 1 species
UUUCCGUAGGCGAACCUGCGGAAGGAUCAUUCACAAUAAGUGUUUUUUUGGCAGUUUAAAAUCCAUAUCCACCUUGUGUGCAACGUCAUGAGGUCUUUUUUUCAUAUAGCCGGCUGCAGAAUGUUUGUUCUACAGCCACGGUAGUCGAGAUAAGGAAGUUUUUUAGAUCUUAACUCUUGUACUUUCACAAAUUUGUCAGAAAGACUAUUCCGAAUUAACUAUCAAAAUAAAUACAACUAUCAACAACGGAUCUCUUGGCUCUC